AUGAUCCGCCCACUCUCUCUUCCCCUCCCCCUCCUCCGCUGUCCCGCCCCCGCACGCCUCUCGCGCCCGCCGCCUCCUCCCCCGCCUCCACCCCAAGGCACACAGGCCCCAGGGAACUGCCGUCUUCUCCGCGCGCACGGCAGGCCGCAGAGGCACCGCCGCCGCUCCUCCUCCAGCGCCAGCCUCUCCGUCUCCGGCCCGGAGAUGGAUCCCGCCGCGCGGAAGGAUCUGUACCCGCACGUCGAGCCCUUCGACACCGGCCGCCUCAGGGUCUCCGACGUCCACACCAUCUACUACGAGCAGUCCGGGAACCCCGGGGGCCACCCCGUCGUCUUCCUCCACGGCGGCCCUGGGGCCGGCACCUCGCCGGGCAACCGCAGGUUCUUCGAUCCGGAGUUCUACAGGAUCGUGCUGUUCGACCAGAGAGGCGCCGGCAAGAGCACUCCCCAUGCUUGUCUAGAGCAGAACACCACCUGGGACUUGGUGGCUGACAUUGAGAAGCUCAGGCAGCACCUCGACAUUCCAGAGUGGCAGGUGUUCGGCGGUUCAUGGGGAAGCACCUUGGCCCUCGCCUACAGCCAGACUCACCCUGAUAAGGUCACUGGCAUUGUUUUAAGAGGCAUUUUCUUGCUUAGGAAAAAGGAGCUUGACUGGUUCUACGAGGGCGGCGCAGCAGCUGUUUUCCCAGAUGCAUGGGAGCCAUUUAGAGAUUUUAUUCCUGAGGACGAAAGGAAUUGUUUCAUAGCUGCUUACAGCAAAAGGCUAACUUCCUCUGACGCUGAUGUCCAGAUUGAAGCUGCUAAGAGAUGGACAACAUGGGAGAUGAUGACUGCACAUCUUCUUCAAAAUCAUGAGAACAUCAAACGAGGAGAGGACGACAAAUUUUCAUUGGCAUUUGCAAGGAUUGAAAACCACUACUUCAUUAACAAGGGAUUCUUAGACUCGGACUCUCACUUAUUGGACAACGUCGACAAAAUUCGUCACAUUAAAUCUUUCAUUGUACAGGGGCGGUAUGAUAUGUGCUGUCCUAUGAUGUCUGCUUGGGAUCUUCAUAAAGCUUGGCCUGAAGCUGAGUUUAAGGUGGUUCCAGAUGCAGGACACUCGGCCAAUGAAGUUGGCGUUGCGGCUGAACUGGUAUCAGCUAACGAAAAGCUUAAAGGCAUGUUGAAAAAAUGA
rnacentral:rRNA from 1 species